rnacentral:misc_RNA from 1 species
GAUGAAGAACGCAGCGAAAUGCGAUAAGUAAUGCGAAUUGCAGAAUUCAGUGAGUCAUCGAAUCUUUGAACGCACAUUGCGCCCUGUGGUAUUCCGCAGGGCAUGCCUGUUCGAGCGUCAUUUCAACCCUCAAGCCCCGCUUGGUGUUGGGCCCCGCCCGCUGUGGCCGGCCCUAAAGACAGUGGCGGCGCCGCCUGGCCCUCAGCGUAGUACAUCUCUCGCUCCAGGGUCCGGUGGCCGCCUGCCAGAACCCCCCAACUCUGUGGUUGACCUCGGAUCAGGUAGGGAUACCCGCUGAACUUAAGCAUAUCAUAAGCGGAGGA